CCUACUGGAGGCUGCAGUGGGGAAUAUUGGACAAUGGGGGGAACCCUGAUCCAGCCAUGCCGCGUGUGUGAAGAAGGCCCUCGGGUUGUAAAGCACUUUCAGUGAGGAAGAACGCCUGGUGGUUAAUACCCAUCAGGAAAGACAUCACUCACAGAAGAAGCACCGGCUAACUCCGUGCCAGCAGCCGCGGUAAUACGGAGGGUGCGAGCGUUAAUCGGAAUUACUGGGCGUAAAGCGCGCGUAGGUGGCUUGAUAAGCCGGUUGUGAAAGCCCCGGGCUCAACCUGGGAACGGCAUCCGGAACUGUCAAGCUAGAGUGCAGGAGAGGAAGGUAGAAUUCCCGGUGUAGCGGUGAAAUGCGUAGAGAUCGGGAGGAAUACCAGUGGCGAAGGCGGCCUUCUGGACUGACACUGACACUGAGGUGCGAAAGCGUGGGUAGCAAACAGGAUUAGAUACCCGGGUAGUC
rnacentral:rRNA from 1 species